rnacentral:lncRNA from 1 species
GCCUAGGUGACCAGGAGCUGCGCAGGAGGAGCAAAGAAUUUGGACCUGAGGCCGGGAUUUUCAUCAUUGGUACUGCUGCUCCUGGCCGCUUGGGGGCUGAGCUGGCGCAGAGCUUUAGCACCUUAAGUUGCUCAAUUUGAUCUCUGCACUCAGGAACAAGGUAAUUAAGUCAGCCACGAUUUAAGAAAACGGACCUGCCUCGCCUUGUUGCCGUCUUCAGACAGCGCUCCAUCCUAAAUCAUCUGAUAAUGGAAGAGGCUCGGCGCGGCUCUCUACUUGACUGAGGGUGAGUUCAUUAGGUCACAAAUCAGUAAUUGACUCUCAGUGUGUCUCUGCUGGUUUUAUUACAGUAAUGAGGACUAUCUUUUUUUUUCAUAUCCUCUA